GGCUAGAUAGGUUUAAUAUUUUCUCACCAAGAUGUAAGAACUCUUAACCACUUUAAUCAUUUGGUCUUUUUUUUCCCUUUAGAACUAUGAACAUUUUCCUUCUGUGUGGAUGAAAAACAACCAUGAUUGGCUCAAUAUCCUCAUCUGUUAAACUGGGAAAAAUAUUUCCUGUUUCACAGAGUUGAAGUGAAGAUUAACUCAGAUAAUGCACUUUCAAUCCAGGACCUGGCUCAGAGUGAAACUAAACACAAGGCAAUUGUUGUCUUACUGAGAGCGAUGGCACAUACCUGAAAGCCAAAAACCUGGAAACAACUCAAAAGCACAUCAAAGAAAGAAUGAAUUAAUAAAUGGUGUAAUCAUACAAUGGAAUACAGCAUUGAAAGUAAGUGAAGGCUUUCCAUGGAUCUCAUGGGUGAAUAUUGAAACCACAAUACUGAGCAAAAGAAGUCAGAUACAGAAGAAUGCAUACUGCCAGUAUCCAAUUUAUAAAAUUGAAAAAUAGGCAAAACUAAACCAUAUUGUUUAGGGAUGCAUACACAAAUAGCAAAAACAUAAACAAGGCUAUGAUUCCCC
rnacentral:lncRNA from 1 species